rnacentral:lncRNA from 1 species
GUUUAGGAGUGCCAACACUGCCAACACUAGUCACUGAUGGAGUAGAAGGCCUUGGAUUAGUGCGUUGAGAACCUCGCUCUUUGCCCGAAUACCCAAUGGCUGAAGUAGAACGAUCCUGAUAUUUCUUCAAUUUCUUUGAAGCAGAAAACUGGGAUUUUCCCAUCGGUCUUUUACUAAAAAUUUGAGCUUCCCUCUCAGCCUGUUUCUUUUCUUUGCUCAAUUCUUCUGCUUUAUAAGCUCUCUCUGCCAAUGUAGCAAACUCUCGAAUUUCAAGAAUUCC